rnacentral:lncRNA from 1 species
GACGACUGUCCGAACUUCCGUCGAGCUCUCGAACUCCCAACGUGAUCAUUGUCAUGACUCCGGCGCAACUCCUACUGUAUGUCUUACUUUCAUUGUAGUUAAUCCUGCACACUUAUCUUAACACAUAGAUUAGAUAACAAAUGACAAUUGACUUCAUCAUCAAAAUCCGAGAUUCAACAAUCUCCCCCUUUUUGAUGAUGACAAUCAAUUGAUAAUGGAGUUAACCUUAACUCCC